rnacentral:rRNA from 1 species
AUUGAACGCUGGCGGCAGGCCUAACACAUGCAAGUCGAACGAGUGGCGGACGGGUGAGUAAUGUCUGGGAAACUGCCUGAUGGAGGGGGAUAAAUAAUGGAAACGGUAGCUAAUACCGCAUACCAUCAGAUGUGCCCAGAUGGGAGUAGCUUGUUGGUGGGGUAAAGGCUCACCAAGGAGACGAUCCCUAGCUGGUCUGCCAGGAUGACCAGCGACACGGGAACUGAGAGUCGGUCCAUACUCCUACGGACGGAAGGAGUGGGGAAUAGGGCACAAGGUGCGCAAGCCUGAGGCAGCAAUUCCGCGUGUAUGAAGAAGGCCUUCGGGUUGUAAAGUACUUUCAGCGGGGAGGCGUUACCCGCAGAAGAAGCACCGGCUAACUCCGUGCCAGCAGCCGCGGUAAUUC